UACUUAAAGCCUCCAAUCUUAAGUAGUUCCUGCUCAAUGAAUAAUAUUUUAAAUAGCCGCAGAGUCCCUGCGCUAAGGUAGCAUAAUAAAUUGCUUUUUAAAUAAAAGAUAGAAUGAAAGGAUUAACGGUUAAAAACUUUUUAAUUACAACACAACUAACUUGAUUUUAAAGUAAAAAAGCUAUAAUAAUAUAACAAGACGACAAGACCCUAACGAACUUACACAAUUAGUUGGGGCAACAAUAAAACCAUUUCUUAUACUCUCCCAACCAUAAAACUUAUAUAAUAAACAUAAUCUAGUUACCGUAGGGAUAACAGCGCAAUAUCUUUCCAGAGUCCUUAUCUAAAAAGAAUCUUACGACCUCGAUGUUGAAUUAACUUACCUGUAUAAGAGCAAAAACCAUAUAAGUCAGUCUGUUCGACCGAUAAUAAGUU
rnacentral:rRNA from 1 species